rnacentral:rRNA from 1 species
UACGGAGGAUGCGAGCGUUAUCCGGAUUUAUUGGGUUUAAAGGGUGCGUAGGCGGGCUUUUAAGUCAGCGGUAAAAAUUCGGGGCUCAACCCCGUCCGGCCGUUGAAACUGGGGGCCUUGAGUGGGCGAGAAGAAGGCGGAAUGCGUGGUGUAGCGGUGAAAUGCAUAGAUAUCACGCAGAACCCCGAUUGCGAAGGCAGCCUUCCGGCGCCCUACUGACGCUGAGACACGAAAGUGCGGGGAUCGAACAGG